AGAGUUUGAUCAUGGCUCAGGAUGAACGCUAGCUACAGGCUUAACACAGUGCAAGUCGAGGGCAGCAUGAAACUUAGCUUGCUAAGUUUGAGUGGCGACCGGCGCACGGGUGAGUAACACGUAUCCAACCUACCGUUUACUACGGGAUAGCCUUACUGGAAAAGGAGAUUAAUACCGUAUGGUAUUCUAAAGUUUCAUGACAUUAGAAUUAAAGGUUUACCGGUAAUCGAUGGGGAUGCGUUCCAUUAGAUAGUAGGCGGGGUAACGGCCCACCUAGUCAGCGAUGGAUAGGGGUUCUGAGAGGAAGGUCCCCCACAUUGGAACUGAGACACGGUCCAAACUCCUACGGGAGGCAGCAGUGAGGAAUAUUGGUCAAUGGGCGAGAGCCUGAACCAGCCAAAGUAGCGUGAAGGAUGACUGCCCUAUGGGUUGUAAACUUCUUUUAUAAAGGAAUAAAGUGGUCCACGUGUGGAUUUUUGUAUGUACUUUAUGAAUAAGGAUCGGCUAACUCCGUGCCAGCCGCCGC
rnacentral:rRNA from 1 species